UGGGGAAUAUUGCACAAUGGGGGAAACCCUGAUGCAGCAACGCCGCGUGAGUGAAGGAGUGCUUCGGCAUGUAAAGCUCUAUCAGCAGGGAAGAAAAAAGACGGUACCUGACUAAGAAGCCCCGGCUAACUACGUGCCAGCAGCCGCGGUAAUACGUAGGGGGCAAGCGUUAUCCGGAUUUACUGGGUGUAAAGGGAGCGUAGACGGCAGCGCAAGUCUGAAGUGAAAGCCCGUGGCUCAACCGCGGAACCGCUUUGGAAACUGCGCGGCUGGAGUGCUGGAGAGGUAAGCGGAAUUCCUGGUGUAGCGGUGAAAUGCGUAGAUAUCAGGAGGAACACCGGUGGCGAAGGCGGCUUACUGGACAGUAACUGACGUUGAGGCUCGAAAGCGUGGGGAGCAAACAGG
rnacentral:rRNA from 1 species